CUUUGACUGUUCCUUAUCUUGUAACUUUGCCUAAUGGUUACAAAGUGAAAGUAACUUGUACAGGUUCUUUUGCAUUAACUUCAUUCAUUACUCUUCACAAUGUACUGCUGGUUCCUUCAUUUAAACACAACAUGAUUUCUGUCCACAAGUUGGUAAAACAGUUGCACUGUGUAGUUUUGUUUACUCCAACUUCCUGUUUACUCCACAUGAUACAGGACCCUUCUCUGAAGAGGCUUCUGGAUCUUGGUAAAGAGGAAGCUGGCCUAUACAAACUGUCUUGGAUGCCACCUUCCCCUUCUUCCUCUACUGGUUCUUCAUCUACUUCUGUAUGUGCUUUGUCUGAUUUUUGUAAUGAUGACAAUGUGUCUGUCUUGGUAAAGAGGAAGCUGGCCUAUACAAACUGUCUUGGGUGCCACCUUCCCCUUCUUCCUCUACUGGUUGUUCAUCUACUUCUGUAUGUACUUUGUCUGAUUCUUGUAAUGAUGACAAUGUGUCUGACAACAAGGAUGUUUCCUUGCCUUCAACUGUACAUAGUUCCAUUUGUAAUAAUGUUGUUACCACUGAUAUGAAUUACAUUUGGCAUUUAAGACUAGCAUAUACUUCAUUUG
rnacentral:lncRNA from 1 species